GAGACGGACGACGAGAAACCGGAGCGAUCAACGGCCGAAUUCGGAGAAGACGACUCGACACAUUUUGAGGUGCAACGAAACGGAGCGUCUUUUACGGUUUGAUCUUCGGUUGCCCCGCGUUCGUCUGGAGCCGUUUCAUGGCCGCCGCUUUCGCUGCAACCGCUCUGCUGUUGGGCCCGCACUGAAGCAAGUGCUGGAAUACGAUCCCGAUGAUGUGAGCAGUCCAGGGUCGUACGGGGAGAAGCUCACUCGGAAAACCUCCUGAGAAAUGGCUUUGCACCUGAGCAUCACCUCCUCCUGCCUCCACUUCCACACGGUCAGCAAGUAGUCGGGUGC